GCUGACUACACAACCAAACACAAACAUACAUUACUAGACAAACAAAUCAUUUGAUUCACCCAGUAGAUGCGAUCGAACAGUCACAAGUCACAAUAA
rnacentral:rRNA from 1 species